rnacentral:rRNA from 1 species
GGAGUAUGGACCGUCUCUCAGUUCCAUUGUGACCGUUCAUCCUCUCAGACCGGUUACCGAUCGUCGGCUUGGUUAGCCUUUACCUAACCAACUACCUAAUCGGACGCAAACCCCUCUCAAAACGAUAAAUCUUUAAUAAAUCCACCAUGCGAUAAAUUUACAACAUUCGGUAUUAGCAAACCUUUCGAUUUGUUGUCCCCAUCUUUGAGGUAGGUUAUUUACGCCUUACUCACCCGUUUGCCACUAGGACCGAAGUCCCCGUUCGACUUGCAUGUGUUAAGCACGCCGCCAGCGUUCGUCCUGAGCCACGGAUCAAACUA